GACGAACGCUGGCGGCGUGCCUAAUACAUGCAAGUCGAACGCAUUUUCUUUCACCGUAGCUUGCUACACCGAAAGAAAAUGAGUGGCGAACGGGUGAGUAACACGUGGGUAACCUGCCCAUCAGCGGGGGAUAACACUUGGAAACAGGUGCUAAUACCGCAUAAUUCCAUUUACCGCAUGGUAGAUGGAUGAAAGGCGCUUUUGCGUCACUGAUGGAUGGACCCGCGGUGCUUUAGCCAGUUGGUGGGGUAACGGCCUACCAAGGCUGCGAUGCAUAGCCGACCUGAGAGGGUGAUCGGCCACACUGGGACUGAGACACGGCCCAGACUCCUACGGGAGGCAGCAGUAGGGAAUCUUCGGCAAUGGGCGCAAGUCUGACCGAGCAACGCGGCGUGAGUGAAGAAGGUUUUCGGAUCGUAAAACUCUGUUGUUAGAGAAGAACAAGGAUGAGAGUGGAAAGUUCAUCCCUUGACGGUAUCUAACCAGAAAGCCACGGCUAACUACGUG
rnacentral:rRNA from 1 species